rnacentral:rRNA from 1 species
UGGCUGGUGUUCUAACGUAGACCCGUGAACCGGGUUGCGGACAGUGUCUGGUGGGUAGUUUGACUGGGGCGGUCUCCUCCUAAAGCGUAACGGAGGAGCACGAAGGUUGGCUAAUCCUGGUCGGACAUCAGGAGGUUAGUGCAAUGGCAUAAGCCAGCUUGACUGCGAGCGUGACGGCGCGAGCAGGUGCGAAAGCAGGUCAUAGUGAUCCGGUGGUUCUGAAUGGAAGGGCCAUCGCUCAACGGAUAAAAGGUACUCCGGGGAUAACAGGCUGAUACCGCCCAAGAGUUCAUAUCGACGGCGGUGUUUGGCACCUCGAUGUCGGCUCAUCACAUCCUGGGGCUGAAGUAGGUCCCAAGGGUAUGGCUGUUCGCCAUUUAAAGUGGUACGCGAGCUGGGUUUAGAACGUCGUGAGACAGUUCGGUCCCUAUCUGCCGUGGGCGCUGGAGAACUGAGGGGGGCUGCUCCUAGUACGAGAGGACCGGAGUGGACGCAUCACUGGUGUUCGGGUUGUCAUGCCAAUGGCACUGCCCGGUAGCUAAAUGCGGAAGAGAUAAGUGCUGAAAGCAUCUAAGCACGAAACUUGCCCCG